rnacentral:rRNA from 1 species
AGGGUUUGAUCUUGGCUCAGAUUGAACGCUGGCGGCAUGCCUUACACAUGCAAGUCGAACGGUAACAGGUCUUCGGAUGCUGACGAGUGGCGAACGGGUGAGUAAUACAUCGGAACGUGCCCAGUAAUGGGGGAUAGCUCGGCGAAAGCCGGAUUAAUACCGCAUACGCCCUGAGGGGGAAAGUGGGGGACCGCAAGGCCUCACGUUAUUGGAGCGGCCGAUGGCUGAUUAGCUAGUUGGUAGGGUAAAGGCCUACCAAGGCGACGAUCAGUAGCUGGUCUGAGAGGACGAUCAGCCACACUGGGACUGAGACACGGCCCAGACUCCUACGGGAGGCAGCAGUGGGGAAUUUUGGACAAUGGGGGAAACCCUGAUCCAGCAAUGCCGCGUGUGCGAAGAAGGCCUUCGGGUUGUAAAGCACUUUUGUCAGGGAAGAAAUCCUUUGGGCUAAUACCCUAGGGGGAUGACGGUACCUGAAGAAUAAGCACCGGCUAACUACGUGCCAGCAGCCGCGGUAAUA